GGCACCAUAGCCAAGUGGUAAGGCAGAGGUCUGCAACACCUUUAUCCCCAGUUCAAAUCUGGGUGGUGCCUCCA
rnacentral:tRNA from 1 species